AGAACCCACGUGAUUAGAGUGUGAUUAGAAAGUUGGAACUUGGGGUCCCGCUCUCCUCAACCUCUGAGGAGGGGAAAAGGCUGGAGGUUGAAUCCAUUACUAAUGGCCAGUUGAUGCAAUCAAUCGUGCUUAUGUCAUGAAGCCUCCAUAGAAACCCAAAAGACAGAGAGCUUCCAGCUUGCUUGUGAGUGUCAGCCUUGCGUCCGUCCAGAGCUGACAUGGGGAACAGCUGCACGUGGCGGCUUCGCCCGGAGAUCACUGCCACCAGCUGGCCGCAGCGGAUGAGCUCAAUCUGCCGGACCUUCUUCAUGACGCCAACACGAAUAAUUUCUACGCAAAUGAAUAGAAGUCAUCUUUAAAUUCAAAAUAAUCUGUUUGUUUGGGAUGUUCUCUCAAUUUUACCCAAAAGCAAUUGGAAAAGGCCCAAUUAAAGUGAUCUCAUGAAUCUUAAUGUCAUUAACUUGAAUGAGUUCUUUACAAAUAAAAUGGCAAGUCACUUUCAAA